GUUGGCCGAUCAAGUGUGGUAAGUUUUUUAAUAAUUAAGUUCUUAAUUUUACGUGCCAUUUUAGCUAAAGUAAGUAGUUGAAGUCCUGCCCAAUGCGUGCUGGCUCUGUCGGAAGCGGUACGUGCAUGUACCGGCAUAGAAAAGUGGUGUGGUGGAGAACACAGCACAAGACAGUGGAUAUAAUGCAGAAACGAUAUGGGCCUACUGCAGGUGUUUGCCACUGUACGAUGCAUUGUAUAUGAUUCGGUAUGUUCGGUAUGUAAGCGGACCACGAAAGAAGAAGAAGAUUGUUUGGUGACGCUAGCGACUAGGAUGCUAAUCAUGGUGUUUAUUCCUUUUUUUGCAGCCAAUUUUCCUCUAUCCUGGAACGUGGGCUUACGAGGAACCAUUUAAGAACAUCCUCCGGAAGCUGUACGGCGACGAGUCGGGCUCUACCAGCACAACACGCUAGAGACCCAGCCGGCACCGGGUGCCUCGAUUGCGCCGUCAGACAGUGUCGAGCGCGCUCGUUCACAACGUUCGAGACAGGAAUUCAACCUUUCGGAUCAUUAUCCUCCGCCUCACAAUAGCUGCAGCAGCAACAGGACCGAACCGACUGCACUACUGAUUGCGGUCAAAUACUGAUUGCGGUCCUGGCAGGAGAAAAAAUCCCACAAGUGUAUCGAACAGGCUACGGACGGACCCCGAAAAGGCCAUUCAUUCCCAACGGCCUAAGAUGUUUUUAGUGUUCAGUGGUGUGCGCGACCGU